rnacentral:rRNA from 1 species
UACGUAGGCAGCAAGCGUUGUUCGGAAUUACUGGGCGUAAAGAGUACGUAGGUGGUUUGCCAAGUCCGAUGUGAAAUCUCCUGGCUUAACUGGGAGGGUGCGUUAGAUACUGGCAGGCUUGAGUGUGGGAGAGGAGAGCGGAAUUCCUGGUGUAGCGGUGAAAUGCGUAGAUAUCAGGAGGAACGCCUGUGGUGUAGACGGCUCUCUGGACCAUUACUGACACUGAGGUACGAAAGUGUGGGUAGCAAACAGG